AUGCAGGCCUUGGAAAAGAUUGUUUAUGUGAGUGUGAGAGGCCCUCUUAAGUUGGACAGCAGUAAAGAGAUGAAAAAUGACACCAUCCCCAGCCCUCAGGAAUACAGGACCGAGUCUCUUUGUCAGAUGACCUCCAAAGAUGACCCAUUUCCAAAAAACAGGUCAAGGCAGUUACCCUUUCUAGCAUCUCUCAUCUGGAAGUCCAAUGCCUCUAUUCUGUCUAUCAUCUCCAGAGCCUAGUCACUCCCUCUACUAGCAUGUUCUACGUAAGGUCAAAUCUCGGCUGGCUACUCAACUGUACACAUGCAACUGUCUCCCAGUCCAGCUGUCCCUGUCUUCCAUUGGGGCUAUCGGAAGAAAGGAAAAUGAAGAACAGAACCUUGAGGAUUACUUGGGGGAACUCAAGAGGGACAAGGUUUUGAGGAGGCUCAAACAGACAUCACUUAGCAAAGGAGGAUGAAAACUGGGGCAGAUAAGUGCCUGUCUUGUUUGCUGACACAAGAGUGUUCAGUCUAACACUGGUGACUAUGGUCUAGGCCCUGUUCCAAAUGAUUAUGAUAGACAUUGACGAUUCCCCCAUGGAAGGCCUCACCCUCCCUGGGGAACAGAAAGGGGUUGGGAUGGGAGUGGGUAGGGGGGAGGGGAGAAGGGAGGGAGAGGGAACUGAGAUUGACCUGUAAAAGAAGCUUGUUUCUAAUUUAAAUAAAAAAAAGUGUUCAGUCUAGCCA
rnacentral:lncRNA from 1 species